rnacentral:rRNA from 1 species
GAUGAACGCUGGCGGCGUGCCUAAUACAUGCAAGUCGAGCGAACGGACGAGAAGCUUGCUUUUCUGAUGUUAGCGGCGGACGGGUGAGUAACACGUGGAUAACCUACCUAUAAGACUGGGAUAACUUCGGGAAACCGGAGCUAAUACCGGAUAAUAUUUUGAACCGCAUGGUUCAAAAGUGAAAGACGGUCUUGCUGUCACUUAUAGAUGGAUCCGCGCUGCAUUAGCUAGUUGGUAAGGUAACGGCUUACCAAGGCAACGAUGCAUAGCCGACCUGAGAGGGUGAUCGGCCACACUGGAACUGAGACACGGUCCAGACUCCUACGGGAGGCAGCAGUAGGGAAUCUUCCGCAGUGGGCGAAAGCCUGACGGAGCAACGCCACGUGAGUGAUGUAGGUCUUCGGAUCGUAAAACUCUGUUAUUAGGGAAGAACAUAUGUGUAAGUAACUGUGCACAUCUUGACGGUACCUAAUCAGAAAGCCACGGCUAACUACGUG